AGCGAACGUUAGCGGCGCGCCUAACACAUGCAAGUCGCACGAGAAAGGGCUUCGGCCCCGGUAAAGUGGCGCACGGGUGAGUAACACGUGGGCAACCUGCCCAACCCUGGGGGAUAACCUGCCGAAAGGCGGGCUAAUACCGCGUACGAGGGCUCGACUUCGGUCGGGUUCUGAAAGCAGGCCUCUGUACACAAGCUUGCGGGGUUGGAUGGGCCCGCGGUCCAUCAGCUAGUUGGUGAGGUAAUGGCUCACCAAGGCUACGACGGAUAGCUGGUCUGAGAGGAUGAUCAGCCACACUGGAACUGAGACACGGUCCAGACUCCUACGGGAGGCAGCAGUGGGGAAUCUUGCGCAAUGGACGAAAGUCUGACGCAGCGACGCCGCGUGGGUGACGAAGGCCUUCGGGUUGUAAAGCCCUGUGGGGCGAGACGAACAGCUUCUGGUCGAACAGGCCAGGGGUCUGACGGUAUCGCCUUAGCAAGCACCGGCUAACUCUGUGCCAGCAGCCGCGGUAACAC
rnacentral:rRNA from 1 species